AAAUGAAAACACAGAGCACUUGUUAGAACUCAUUUGCCAACAUCAAAAGUUCUCUUCUUCUCAUCUGGGUGUAGCCAGGCUUUAGGUGCUUAUGUUGAUGAUGAUAAUGUGAAGAAGUGUCUGGCAGAGAAGCAUGGAGGGCACUUUGUUAAUGAAUUGAAGUAAAAGAAUGAUUUGAGAAAUCGCCUCAUGAAAAAUGUCGUUAGGCUUCAAAUAGUGUAUGGGGCGCAGAUUAAGAUUUCGUUUUUGACACUCCUUUCAAAGAAUCUGUUGGCAACAGAUUACAUAAGUUUGGGGUAUAUGGUAGCACAUAAUUGCUGCAAAGUGCUUUCGAAGAAUCUGUUGGCAAUAGAUUACUUAGGUUUGGGGAAUAAUACCACAUAAUUGCUCCAAAGGGAACGAGCAGUGGCUGCAACAUUCACAGUUUUGUUGAGAGGAGUUGCGCCUUCUUUGGCUUCAUUUAGCUGGACUGAGUCUGAAAGUUUAUCUAGAGGUUGGAUUAUGAAAUUGCUCGUUGUUCCAGCGGUAGGAAAAAAAUAAAGAUGAGGUCCUAUUUGUGGAAGAAGAAGGAUGAGUCUUUACGUAGAUUAAACAUAAAUAAAAUUAUAUCAGAAUUUAAAAUGUUGAGCACGGGAAAGAACCAUCUAGUAUUAUACAUGAAUGUAUUCAUAUGUUGUUGUAUUCAGUCACAAAUGCCAAAUACAUUAUAAAUAAAAGUCUUUUAACAAUAGAA